UCCUCUCUUUCAUCUCCUUCACCUGUCUUUUGUUCCUUCCUUCCCUUUUUCCUUUUGAGCUCUUUAUCGAUUUGGACUGAGUUUUUGUCAUGAGGGUGCAAUUUGCAUAGGUCCAUAAAUAAAGCAAAGUGAUUUUUAAUCAAUGAAAUCAGUGCAGUGUUUGAAAAUUGAUUGCCAUAGCUAUACAAAUUAGUGCUGUCAAUCAAUGAAAUAGAAGAAACCAAUUCAAAAUGAUUCUUAUAAUAAUGAUGUAAAAUCACAGAAUGAAUGUAGAAUCAACACAAAUUAAGUAUAUUUAUAUUCAAAUACUAUUGUUUAAUAGUAUCUUUUGAACUUUGAACACAAGAUUUCUCCUGUUAACUACAGAUUUCCAAUAAAACCAUCAAGGCCUUGCAAUGACUGUAAAACAAAUGUCACCUACAGGUUAUGAUGGUGAUUCUUUUCUGAGCUGCUAUUGCAUUCCCACGGAAUAGUUUUGCAUACGCUCGCAAUACUUUUGUGUUCCUCCUACUGCUUGUGAAAGGGGACACCUAUGUGUUGUCUUGCAAUUAUAGUCCGCAAGUUUGAUAGACCCAUCAACAUAAUCAAUUUCUUUUGAUGUCUGUUGCAUUUGAUCUCCCACACAAACCCACCAUCUGCACACAACUGGGCAGCACUAUGGUCACAUCACUAUGUGAUCACCCUAACCCCCAUUUGAGGACAAGAAGACUUGCCAUUUCUGUUCCUCUUUCUCUUCCUGUUUUAUAUGGGUGGUUCAGUUUCAGUGAAGAUCAUAUGGACAGGAAACAAAUGAAAGGUGUUAUUACUGGUCAAGAGUAUAACUAGAGAUUUCCCAGUAAAAUUGCUUGACAACAUCAUUACACAGUGAUUGGGUGAAGUAGUAAGUAGCAAGGAACAUGAUCAGAGGAUUUCUCUUUCUCUCUUUCGUGGUUUCCACGGCAGCUUUCAGUGUUUUGAAAGAUGCCGUGUAUCAUUGUGCAAAUGGUCAAGAAACAACUCAGUCCAGUGAUGGCUUUGCAAAAUUCUUGGGGUGCGACCUGAAGAAUGAUUAUUUCAUCUUCGCAGGUUAAGUACACUCAAGUUGUGCAUUUUUCAGUAUCAGAUGAUCAUAACUUCCUUGCUUGUACAGAACACAUUUAACCUUUUGACUCAUUGUGCUGCAGAGGACAACUUAAAGGGCUCCCAACCAUUGGGGCCAAUGGUGAAUUAACUGAAACGCCCCGCCAUCUCCUUAUAAGGGCAUGCAACUGAAGAGACGUGUGUGCACAAUCCAAAGGCAACAGGAAAGCAACUUCAGACUGAUCAAAAUCAUGUCAAAGCGGAAAGCAAGCACCGGUCGAGUAAACGCAUACCUAAC